GACGAACGCUGGCGGCGUGCCUAACACAUGCAAGUCGAGCGGGGUUGAAGCGAGGGGUAACUCGAGUUUCUACCUAGCGGCGGACGGGUGAGUAACGCGUGGGCAACCUGCCUCAAGGACUGGGAUAACAGCUCGAAAGGGCUGCUAAUACCGGAUAGGCCUAUGGCCUCGCAUGGGGCCAUGAGCAAAGGGGAAACCCGCCUUGAGAUGGGCCCGCGUCCCAUCAGCUAGUUGGUGAGGUGAAGGCUCACCAAGGCGACGACGGGUAGCCGGCCUGAGAGGGUGACCGGGCCACACUGGGACUGAGACACGGCCCAGACUCCUACGGGGGGCAGCAGUGGGGAAUCUUGCACAAUGGGCGAAAGCCUGAUGCAGCGACGCCGCGUGAGCGAAGAAGGCCUUCGGGUUGUAAGCUCUGUCUGGGGGACGAAGGAAGUGACGGUACCUCCGGAGGAAGACCACGGCUAACUACGUGCCAGCAGCCGCGGUAAACGAUAACUCGUA
rnacentral:rRNA from 1 species